UACGUACCGUACGAACGUUAUUCGGAAUCACUGGGCUUAAAGAGUUCGUAGGCGGCUUGCCAAGUUGGGUGUGAAAUCCCUCGGCCUAACCGAGGAACUGCACUCAAAACUGGCGGGCUUGAGGAAGACAGAGGUGAGCGGAACUCACGGUGGAGCGGUGAAAUGCGUUGAUAUCGUGAGGAACACCGGUGGCGAAAGCGGCUCACUGGGUCUUUUCUGACGCUGAGGAACGAAAGCUAGGGGAGCAAACGGG
rnacentral:rRNA from 1 species